AGAGUUUGAUCAUGGCUCAGGACGAACGCUGGCGGCGUGCCUAAUACAUGCAAGUCGAGCGGACAGAUGGGAGCUUGCUCCCUGAUGUUAGCGGCGGACGGGUGAGUAACACGUGGGUAACCUGCCUGUAAGACUGGGAUAACUCCGGGAAACCGGGGCUAAUACCGGAUGGUUGUUUGAACCGCAUGGUUCAAACAUAAAAGGUGGCUUCGGCUACCACUUACAGAUGGACCCGCGGCGCAUUAGCUAGUUGGUGAGGUAACGGCUCACCAAGGCAACGAUGCGUAGCCGACCUGAGAGGGUGAUCGGCCACACUGGGACUGAGACACGGCCCAGACUCCUACGGGAGGCAGCAGUAGGGAAUCUUCCGCAAUGGACGAAAGUCUGACGGAGCAACGCCGCGUGAGUGAUGAAGGUUUUCGGAUCGUAAAGCUCUGUUGUUAGGGAAGAACAAGUACCGUUCGAAUAGGGCGGUACCUUGACGGUACCUAACCAGAAAGCCACGGCUAACUACGUGCCAGCAGCCGCGGUAAUACGUAGGUGGCAAGCGUUGUCCGGAAUUAUUGGGCGUAAAGGGCUCGCAGGCGGUUUCUUAAGUCUGAUGUGAAAGCCCCCGGCUCAACCGGGGAGGGUCAUUGGAAACUGGGGAACUUGAGUGCAGAAGAGGAGAGUGGAAUUCCACGUGUAGCGGUGAAAUGCGUAGAGAUGUGGAGGAACACCAGUGGCGAAGGCGACUCUCUGGUCUGUAACUGACGCUGAGGAGCGAAAGCGUGGGAGCGAACAGGAUUAGAUACCCUGUUAGUCCACGCCGUAAACGAUGAGUGCUAAGUGUUAGGGGGUUUCCGCCCCUUAGUGCUGCAGCUAACGCAUUAAGCACAUCGUCGACCUGCAGGCAUGCAGCUUGGCACUGAACGUCGUUUUACAACGUCGUGACUGGGAAAACCCUGCGUUACCCACUAGUC
rnacentral:rRNA from 1 species